CGCGUCGCUACUACCGAUUGAAUGGCUUAGUGAGCCCUCGAUGAGCUCGAGAUUGGCAACAGUUCUUGGUUUGAAAAGUUGGUCAAACUUGGUCAUUA
rnacentral:rRNA from 1 species